rnacentral:rRNA from 1 species
AGAGUUUGAUUCUGGCUCAGGAUGAACGCUGGCGGCGUGCUUAACACAUGCAAGUCGAGCGAAGCGGUUUCAAUGAAGUUUUCGGAUGGAAUUGAAAUUGACUUAGCGGCGGACGGGUGAGUAACGCGUGGGUAACCUGCCUUACACUGGGGGAUAACAGUUAGAAAUGACUGCUAAUACCGCAUAAGCGCACAGGGCCGCAUGGUCUGGUGUGAAAAACUCCGGUGGUGUAAGAUGGACCCGCGUCUGAUUAGGUAGUUGGUGGGGUAACGGCCCACCAAGCCGACGAUCAGUAGCCGACCUGAGAGGGUGACCGGCCACAUUGGGACUGAGACACGGCCCAA